GUGCGGAACACGUGUGCACUAGCUUUAUCUGGGGGAUAGCCUUUCGAAAGGAAGAUUAAUACCCCAUAAUAUGUUGAAUGGCCAUCAUUCGACAUUGAAAACUCUGGUGGAUAGAGAUGGGCACGCGCAAGAUUAGAUAGUUGGUGAGGUAACGGCUCACCAAGUCUACGAUCUUUAGGGGGCCUGAGAGGGUGAUCCCCCAACUGGUACUGAGACACGGACCAGACUCCUACGGGAGGCAGCAGUGAGGAAUAUUGGACAAUGGGCUGAGAGCCUGAUCCAGCCAUCCCGCGUGAAGGACGACUGCCCUAUGGGUUGUAAACUUCUUCUUGUAUAGGGAUAAACCUACCUCGUGAGGGUAGCUGAAGGUCACUAUACGAAUAAGCACCCGGUAACUCCGUGCCAGCAGCCGCGGUAAUACGGAGCGCGUGCAAGCCGCAUCCGGAUCCACGGGCGCUCNAAAGGGCCCGAAGCGGGANCUGUAGNCAGGGCNGAAAUCCUCCAACAGCCUCAAACUGGCGCACACUGCCCACNUGCAUACCGGACAGGGUCCNCCGAAAGUGGCCGGCCCGAAACGUAAGCCNGCGACACAAGNCAAGC
rnacentral:rRNA from 1 species